AGCCGAGGGCCUUUUUACCUCCAUCCCCUGUUAAACCGGGUCUGGAGGUGCUUGUGCCACCAGUGCUCUGGCUUUGUUAGACAUGCUCUGUAAACAAGGCAUGAAUUGGAGUUUCUGACAACAUUGUUGACAACCAAGCAGUCCACCCCUAUAUAUGCCAGCCCUGUUGAACACCCAAUUAGGCUGAAAAAGUUGUCAGAGGGAGGCUUGAAUUUUGUCAAUUGAAGUGAAAGUGGAGUUAUUGUGCCUUAUAAUGUGGAAGAGUGGUUUUCUGAACAAGAGGCUAUAAGCAGCUGAACCUACUUCUUCCAUUCCCAGAACAGCUAGUUUGAUGUUAAUGCACAUACAUACUGCCCUAUGACUCUAUCUGGAGAGACUUUCAAGUAUUUAAACAUUUUAAUGCUGCCAAGUUAAAUAUUUCACGUGCAGCAUAAAUUAAUUAGAUGUUUGCACUUAAAAUGCUAAUAGCAACCUUGUGCUAUAAUGAGAGAGGAAAACAAAGUCAUCCCCUUUUUUAGGUCAGCAGUCUCCACCUGCAUUCUCUCCAUCGCCACCAUCAUUUCCAGUUGUAGUGCAGUCAGUCACUACAACAGAUUCAUCCACUACCCAUGUUGCCACCUCAACUACUAGCCAGUACUAGAAGCUCCUCUACCACCACUAGGAGCUCCACUAGUAGGACAGGAUCAAGUGUUCCUGAGAAGGAAGAGACAGAUAAUGUUGCCACAUCGAAAACCACCAAGGAGACCUCUGAAGCAAAAAGGGCAGGCAGAGGUGGCAACUAUCUCACAUCGCUAAAAGGUGUGGAACCACUUUGUCCGCAUUGGAGGUGGGAAAUAAGUUAGCUGUUGGAGAAUUUUGGACCAUCUCACCUGUUUGUGAAGUUCUGCUUUUUCUAUUUUUUUUUUUGUCUAAUUAAGUUAUUUUUUAUUUUAUUAAUGGAGGCUUUAUCUUGGAUUAAGACGCCUCCCUAAGGUAAGCUUUAAAUGUCCCCCAAAUAAUGAAAGGGUUGUCGGUUGAGUCUUUAUUGUCAGACCAAAAAUGUUCUGGAACAGGGAAGGGUCUAGGGUCCAGGAUCUAUCUCUUGAUGGGUUAAAGAACCCUUGCAAAGCGAUUUCAACUAUUGCAUGGUCUGACCAUGUAGAUUGGGUUACUGCAGUAUUCAUUAUCAAUGGGCAUAGUAUUUGACUAAUAAAUAUAUAAUCAUGAGCUGCUAAA